UCUAUAGAUGAUGAUCCAAAAUGCAUAGAAACAUGGGUAGAGAUGGGAAACUGUGAAAGCGAUGGGAACUAUCUGGAAUACAGGAUUGAGCGAUCUAGCAGAUACUUAUGAACUUCUGAAGCUCGGUUGUUCAAAUUAUCAUGGAUGAGAUGAUAAGGAAGCGCCUGAUAUAGAUUUCAAAAUUGAAGUUGGGUCACCGAAUUGAGGCCAAGGCC